GACGAACGCUGGCGGCGCGCUUAACACAUGCAAGUCGAGCGAUGAAACUUUAACAGAACCCUUCGGGGCGAAGAGAAAGUGGAUUAGCGGCGGACGGGUGAGUAACACGUGAGUAACCGGCCUUUGACAUAGGGAUAGCCACGGUAAACCGGGAUUAAUACCAAAUAAAAUCAUAAUGACACAUGUCAUAACGAUCAAAUCUCCGGUGGGCUAAGAUGGACUCGCGUCCCAUUCGCUAGUUGGUAGAGUAAAAGCCUACCAAGGCGAGGAUGGGUAGCCGGCAUGAGAGGGUGAGCGCCCACAUUGGAGCUGGGCAGCAGUCCAGACUCCUACGGGAGGCAGCCGUGGGGAAUAUUGCCCAAUGGAGGGGACUCUGAUGCAGCGACGCCGCGUGAGCGAAGAAGGCUUUCGAGACGUACAGUUCUUUUAUAUGGGAAGAUAAUGACGGUACCAUAAGAAAAAGCCCCGGCUAACUACGUG
rnacentral:rRNA from 1 species